AACGUAGGUCACAAGCGUUGUCCGGAAUUACUGGGUGUAAAGGGAGCGCAGGCGGGAAGACAAGUUGGAAGUGAAAUCUAUGGGCUCAACCCAUAAACUGCUUUCAAAACUGUUUUUCUUGAGUAGUGCAGAGGUAGGCGGAAUUCCCGGUGUAGCGGUGGAAUGCGUAGAUAUCGGGAGGAACACCAGUGGCGAAGGCGGCCUACUGGGCCCCAACUGACGCUGAGGCUCGAAAGUGUGGGUAGCAAACAGG
rnacentral:rRNA from 1 species